rnacentral:rRNA from 1 species
AGAGUUGAUCAUGGCUCAGGACGAACGCUGGCGGCGCGCCUAACACAUGCAAGUCGAACGGAACUUUUGAGUGACUUCGGUCUCUCUUGAGUUUAGUGGCGGACGGGUGAGUAAAGCAUGAGUAACUUUCCCUUGAGUGGGGAAUAACUUUUUGGAAACAGAAGAUAAUACCGCAUACUUCAAAGGAUCGCAUGAUCUUUUGGCAAAGAUUUUCGCUUUUUGGAUAGGCUCAUGUCUGAUUAGCUUGUUGGUGAGGUAAUGGCUCACCAAGGCUUCGAUCAGUAGCCGUACCGAGAGGUUCUACGGCCACAUUGGGACUGAGACACGGCCCAGACUCCUACGGGAGGCAGCAGUGAGGAAUAUUGCGCAAUGGAGGAAACUCUGAACCGCAGCGACGCCGCGUGAAGGAUGAAGGUCUUCGGAUUGUAAACUUCUGUCCUCAGGGAAGAAAUCAAUGACGGUACCUGGGGAGGAAGCCCCGGCUAACUACGUGCCAGCAGCGGC